GCCAGGAGUCCGACUCCUCCUCUUCCUGUGUGGAACCUGGAAUUCAAACGGCUGGGGCCUCACUCACGGCAUAUGGAACUAACCACGCCCCUAACUAAGAAGGCACACCUUAGUUGCAGUUAGCACACAAUUAAAGCAACUCUCCAAGUUUUACCUUAAAGUUCAAAAUUGCUAGGAGUUGAAACUACUAGAAAUAUAUUUACAUGCAAGAGUCAAAGAAACUUUGAACUAUUUAUGGCCUUUAAUAAUUAAGUAAGGUAUACUCCUGUGAUCAAGACUUGGAGCAUAUUUGUUUCUCUCUGCCUGGUUCCUCUAGAAAUUGGAAACUAUCAGAACAGAGACCAACUCCGUUUCCCGAUCCCUUUGCAAUCUGCAUUGAACCAUGAGUCAAGUUCUUGAUAAAGGAGUGAAAAUGGAUGACAUUUAAGGCACAUCUGAAGAUGGGGAAACCACAGCACAGAAUAAGGCUGGGCCCUUGAAUCAAUAAAUGAAGGAGAACUACUCAAGAGAACAAAACCACCAGCAAUAUCCACCUGUAUUUGUCUUUUCAUAAUGUGUGACACAUGUGCUCAUGGAUUAUUGUCCGAAGCAAGACAUGUGACCAAGCCUAACAUCAACUGGGUGAAGAGCUAUAUGUUCCUUUCUCAAGAGGCACUACAAGUGACAUGCCACUGGGCAGUGGAGUCUCGCUCUGUCACCCAGGCUAGAGUGCAGUACCGCAAUCUCGGCUCGCUGCAAGCUCUGACUCCCAGGUUCACACCAUUCUCCUGCCUCAGCCUCCCAAGUAGCUGGCACUACAGGCGCCCACCACCAUGCCUGGCUAAUUUUUUAUAUUUUUAGUAGAGAAGGGGUUUCGCCGUGUUAGCCAGAAUGGUCUUGAUCUCCUGACCUCAUGAUCUGCCCACCUCGGCCUCCCAAAGUGCUGGGAUUACAGGCGUGAGCCACCGCGACUGGCCUAACAUAUUUUUAAAACCUGCAGAAUGUUUGUAUUACUUUUGUCAUAGUACAUAACAUUUAAAUGGAUUUCUUGUUUGUGUAUGUGUGUAUAUUCAUUCACAACACUGAUAGUUUUUCUGAAUAUUUCCUUUGGAUUUUAUUCUUUUCUCAUUCAACUAAAUAAGAACCUGCACCAUCUUUUUCUAGUGUAAAAAUUACAAUAUCUGAAGUGAAACUACUAGAAUAAAUCUUGUGACAAUUCUUAAGGAUUAUCUUUUAGUUGGUAUGGUUUCCAAAAAAGAUUGUACUAAGUUUUACUCCCAGUGGAAAUAUUUAAAGGCAAUACUUCCAUUUCUUUUUUACAGAAUAGAAUCCAAUUAUUCUUUUUCAUCCCAUUGUUGUAUACAGACUUUAUUUCAUUUACUUGUAGAUCAAAGGUUUUUUGGUUUCCUAUCUUUUGGACACUGUUUUGGGUACUAGAGAGAGCAUGAGUAGCUAAGUUUCUGAAAUUUACAGUGAAUGGAAAAAGAUAGGCAUAAAUGAAACAAUCACAAAAAUAAAUGUAACAGCUACAGUUACAGUUGUAAAACUGUGGUCAGUGCUAUGGAGGAGUGUACAAGGUGAUAUGAGAGAUCAUAAUAGGGAAGUUAAAUCUCUGGUUCAUGUAAAACUGCCAUGGACACACUCUCAGUGAACUUAGAGCUAAAAGAGGAGUAAUAGCCAUUAGACACAAAAAAGCAGAUAGAAAAUGUUCUGGGAAGAAUAAUGUCUAUAAAGGAUCUGGGGUAGGAGAGAGCAUUGUUCUUUGGUGAUAUGAGAUUGGAGGGAUAGGUGAAUAUAAAACAUAAGCAUAAAAACUAGAUAGUAUUUAAAUCCUUUCCUUGGAUCUUAAUGAGAAGCACUAAAGAGAUUUAAAUAGAGAAUGACAACAUGUAAUUUGGCUUUUAAACAAAGUUAUGUUUUUUAAUGCAGAAAAUAAAUUGGAAUGAAGCCCAUGUGAAUGCAUGGAGACAAGGUGAAAAGGUAGAUGAGAAAAAAGUUGGAAAUAUUUGCAGGUACAUUUGACAGGACCAGGAGAUGUCUUGGGCAUUCAUGAUGAUGGAAGAGUGGUCAAUAAUGACUCUAUUUUCUAGCUUGUAUCAUGAGAUGAAUGGAGACCCGUAGAAGAAUAAGUUUUGUGAGUGACUGGGUCAUGUAAUAUAUUUUGGAUUUGUUAAAUGUGAACUACUUUUAAGAAACUGUGGGGAAAAACUUCGUUUUGUUUACAUCCAUGAAUCAUUUGAAGCACGAAAAAUAAUUCUCAGCUGAAGAUACAAAUAUGAGGGCCCUGGGUGUAUAACUGAAGGCACGAGUAUAAAUGGGAUUAUUUAGGGAGGGCUUAAAAGUGGAUAGAGAGUAAAUUCACAGACUAUAGGUACAAAAUAAUCACCAAUGACAAUAUAUUAUGCAGCUUAAGACCAAUUGUAUGUAUUUUCCUGACAAUGUCUUUUAGAGCCUGUGACUAGUUUUCUCCUGAAGAUGUGGUGAUCUUCUUAUCAAUUUUUAAGAGUACUUAAAUGUUUUAACAAUUAUAUUUAACUCAAAAUUAGUUUCCA
rnacentral:lncRNA from 10 species